GGAAACGUGGCCGAGUGGUUGAAGGCGCCGGUCUUGAAAACCGGCGACGGGCGACCGUCCGUGGUUCGAAUCCCACCGUUUCCGCCA
rnacentral:tRNA from 1 species